rnacentral:rRNA from 1 species
CCUACGGGAGGCAGCAGUGAGGAAUAGUGGUCAAUGGGCGCGAGCCUGAACCAGCCAAGUAGCGUGAAGGAUGACUGCCCUACGGGUUGUAAACUUCUUUUAUAAAGGAAUAAAGUGAGGCACGUGUGCCUUUUUGUAUGUACUUUAUGAAUAAGGAUCGGCUAACUCCGUGCCAGCAGCCGCGGUAAUACGGAGGAUCCGAGCGUUAUCCGGAUUUAAUGGGGUUAAAGGGAGCGUAGAUGGGUUGUUAAGUCAGUUGUCUAAGUUUGCGGCUCAACCGUUCAAUGGCAAUUGCUACUGGCAGUCUUGAGUACAGUUGCGGUCGGCGGACUUCGUGUUGUAGCGGUGCACUGCUUAGAUAUCACG